rnacentral:rRNA from 1 species
AUUGAACGCUGGCGGCAUGCCUUACACAUGCAAGUCGAACGGCAGCACGGGGCAACCUGGUGGCGAGUGGCGAACGGGUGAGUAAUGCAUCGGAACGUACCUUUCAGUUGGGGAUAACGUAGCGAAAGUUACGCUAAUACCGCAUAUUCUGUGAGCAGGAAAGCAGGGGAUCGCAAGACCUUGCGCUGAUGGAGCGGCCGAUGUCAGAUUAGCUAGUUGGUGAGGUAAAGGCUCACCAAGGCGACGAUCUGUAGCGGGUCUGAGAGGAUGAUCCGCCACACUGGAACUGAGACACGGUCCAGACUCCUACGGGAGGCAGCAGUGGGGAAUUUUGGACAAUGGGGGCAACCCUGAUCCAGCCAUGCCGCGUGAGUGAAGAAGGCCUUCGGGUUGUAAAGCUCUUUCGGCCGGGAAGAAAUCGCACGGGCUAAUACCCUGUGUGGAUGACGGUACCGGAAUAAGAAGCACCGGCUAACUACGUGCCAGCCGCCGCAGUAACAC